UCAAGCGAACAAGGGCGCAGGGCGAAUGCCUUGGCACUGGGAGCCGAUGAAAGACGUGAUAAGCUGCGAUAAGCUUCGGGGAGCUGCAAAUAAGCAUUGAUCCGGAGAUUUCUGAAUGAGGAAACUCACCUGGGUUCAUACUCAGGUACGUUGUACUGAAAUUCAAAAUAGGUACAUCGGGGGAACCGCCUGAACUGAAACAUCUAAGUAGGGCGAGGAAGAGACAUCAAACGAGAUUCCGUAAGUAGUGGCGAGCGAACGCGGAAGAGGGCAAACCGGGAGUAGAAAUACUUCCGGGGUACGGACUGCUUUUAGGACUCAAUCUGUUAACCGAACGGCAUGGGAAGGCCGGUCAGAGAGUGUGAGAACCACGUAGGUGAAAACGGAAAGAGCUGCGCAGAUUCCAGAGUACGGCCAGACACGUGAAACCUGGUCGGAAGAUGGGGGGACCACCCUCCAACCCUAAAUACUACCCAGUGACCGAUAGCGUAUAGUACUGUGAAGGAAAGGUGAAAAGCACCCCGGGAGGGGAGUGAAAAAGAACCUGAAACCCUGUGCCUACAAGCACCUAGAGCGCGUCAAUGCGUGAUAGGGUACUUUUUGUAGAACGGUCCGGCGAGCGAUUGUAUGCAGCAAGGUUAAGGACUUAAGGUCUGGAGCCGAAGCGAAAGCGAGUUUGAAAAGGGCGUUAAGUUGCAUAUAAUGGGCCCGAAACCGGGUGACCUACCCAUGGUCAGGUUGAAGUGGAAGUAAAAUUCCAUGGAGGACCGAACCGACCUCCGUUGAAAAGGCGGCGGAUGAACUGUGGGUAGCGGAGAAAUUCCAAUCGAACCCGGAGAUAGCUGGUUCUCCCCGAAAUAGUUUUAGGACUAGCCUCAAGUUAGAUACCUGGAGGUAAAGCACUGAAUAGCCUAGCGGCCGAGAGGUUAGCGAAGCUUAUCAAACUCAGAAUGCCAGAGUAUUGAUGCUUGGGAGUCAGACAGUGUCAGAUAAAUGUCAUUGUCAAAAGGGAAACAGCCCAGAUCUACAGCUAAGGUCCCAAAGUCAGGUUAAGUGGAAAACGAUGUGAAGAUACGCAGACAACCAGGAUGUUGGCUCAGAAGCAGCCACUCAUUCAAAGAGUGCGUAAUAGCUCACUGGUCGAGCGUCUUUGCGCGGAGAAUUUAACGGGGCUAAACCUGACACCGAAGCUUAGGCAAUCCAGUAAUGGAUUGGGUAGGGGAGCGUUGUAUACGCGGAGAAACAGUAGCGUAAGCGGCUGUGGAGUGUAUAGAAGUGAGAAUGCCGGAAUGAGUAGCGCGAAUGCAGUGAGAAUCUGCAUGGCCGAAAGCCUCAGGUUUUUGGAGGAAGGUUCGUCCGCUCCAAGUUAGUCGGGAGCUAAGGUGAGGCCGGAAGGCGUAGCCGAUGCACAGACGGUAGAGAUUCCGUCACCACCAAAAGAGUUAAGCACAGGGACACAUUUGAAGUCUCAGAGCCGGGUGUUGGUUCCGGUAGAGAUCGAGGGAAGUUAGUACCGAAGUCUGGGAUGGAAGAUGGCGAGAAAAGCUGUGUGUAUUUCUGAGGUGCCCGUACCGCAAACCGACACAGGUAGGUAGGAAGAAGAUUCUAAGGCCAACGGGAGAAGGGUUGUUAAGGAACUCGGCAAAUUGACCCCGUAACUUCGGGAGAAGGGGUGCUCCAGAGAUGGAGCCGCAGAGAAUCGGCCCAAGCAACUGUUUACCAAAAACACAGGUUUGUGCUAAAUCGAAAGAUGACGUAUACGAGCUGACGCCUGCCCGGUGCUGGAAGGUUAAGAGGAGAUGUGCAAGCAUUGAAUCGAAGCCCCAGUGAACGGCGGCCGUAACUAUAACGGUCCUAAGGUAGCGAAAUUCCUUGUCAGGUAAG
rnacentral:rRNA from 1 species